GGUUCGAUGGCGUAGUUGGUUAUCGUAUCUGUCUAACAAUUUGAGUUGCACAGAAGGUCCCCAGUUCGAGCCUGGGUCGAAUCA